UCUGAGUUUGCACAGCAACCUCUUUGCUAUGGAGGGACAGAUUCUGCUCACAGGGCAGUGUCUUUGGAGCCACCUUGCACUAACAGCAGUGUAAUUGGCAGCUUGUUUUGGUUCUUUGUAGCAGGUGUCCUCAGGGCUGCCCACUGCCACUGAGACAGGUCGGAAGGACUUUGCACUUACAGCUCUGCCUGGCCUGGUAUUUCCCACUGCUCCAGUGCUGGACACUUAUGGCUGCACAGGACCAGAGACACAACAGGCACAUCCAUGGUUGCCUUCUCAAUUUUCUUGCUCUGGAAGCAGAAACAGAAGAGGAGCUCCAGCCUGCAGCCUUGCAUGUGGGCAUCCUACGCAGCCUGACGGGUGGAAAAUGCUGCCGGAUUCCAAAACAACACAGUGCUGUUACAUCAUUUCUCUGGUGCUGGAAUAACAACAGAGGCUGCCUUAGGGCAGGUAUAGGUGCUAGCCGGUGUCCCUGCCACCGUCACCUUCCUGAAGGCGUAUUUACACCCUAUGCUUUCCCUGUAGGAAAGGCCAAGUGUCUGCGCUGA
rnacentral:lncRNA from 1 species